rnacentral:rRNA from 1 species
GCUUGAGCACGUAGGUGGGUUUGUAAGUCAGAUGUGAAAGCCUUCUGUUCAACGGAAGAAUUGCAUCUGAAACUACUAAUCUUGAGUAUAGGAGGGGAGAAUGGAACUUCUGGUGGAGCGGUGAAAUGCGUAGAUAUCAGAAGGAACGCCGGCGGCGAAAGCGAUUCUCUGGCCUAUUACUGACACUCAGUGUGCGAAAGCUAGGGGAGCAAACGGGAUUAGAUACCCCGGUAGUCCUAGCCGUAAACGAUGGGCACUAAGUAGAGGGGAUUACCUAUGUUCUCUCUGCCGUAGCUAACGCAUUAAGUGCCCCGCCUGGGGAGUACGGCCGCAAGGCUAAAACUCAAAAGAAUUGACGGGGGCUCGCACAAGCGGUGGAGCAUGUGGCUUAAUUCGAUGCAACGCGAAAAACCUUACCGGGGCUUGACAUGAUAGAAGUAGGAACCUGAAAGGGGGACGAACGGUAUCCAGUCCGUAGCUAUUACAGGUGUUGCAUGGCUGUCGUCAGCUCGUGUCGUGAGACGUUGGGUUAAGUCCCCUAACGAGCGAAACCCUUGUUUUUAGUUACCAGCGGGUUAUGCCGGGUACUCUAGAAAGACUGCCGUCGUCAAGACGGAGGAAGGUGGGGAUGACGUCAAGUCAUCAUGGCCCUUAUGCCCCGGGCUGCACACGUGCUACAAUGGUCGGUACAGACGGAAGCGAAGCCGAGAGGUGAAGCGAAUCCAAGC